CUAUCUUCUCCUGCCCUCAGAGAGUGGUGUCCCUGAUUCUCCUGGCUUUGGACUUGAACUGAAUUACACCAUUGGGUUUCCUGGUUCUCCAGCUCUCUGGCCUCAGAUCUUGGGACUUCCAGACCUCCACAAUCAGCUCUUGCUGGCCUGCCGCAGACGUGAAGUUAAAUAAAUCCCAGAUGACUGGAGCCCUGCAGGUCCAUCCCAUAGAAAUGAUGGUGAGAUGUUUCUAUUAAUCAUAUGAGUCCAAUUCUGCUUCAGGUGUUAUGUGGCAGGUGUGUGUCAGCAAAGUAAAACUAUCCGGCUGACAAGAUGCCUUUUAAAAUUAAAAUGUUUUGUGGUUUUUUUUUUUUUUUUUUUUUUUUUUAGUAUUUGAGAUUGAAUGCAGUGUUACAAUUUACUGAGUACAAACGUGAAUUCUUAUCAAAUAGUCAUAU
rnacentral:lncRNA from 1 species